UUGACAUGAUGAGUGGUAUAGUCUCGCAUUAAAUAUGCGACUUGGGUGUCUGCCCCAAGCCUGGUUACGACAAUUGGGCACUCUCCUUUGACCAAUUUGAUCUC